GAAUUGGUUUGACAGCUUUUAUUUGAUCCUGUGAAGUUAUAUUUCUGCUUGAAUCCUUAGUUGUUGCAUUAGUUGAAAGUGUUGUUCUUAAUGCUGCAGGAAUCAAAAGCAUGGACAAUACUUGCAGGAAUGACUGCUCCUCAAGCUGCCGGAGUCAUUCACUCUGAUUUUGAGAAAGGCUUCAUUCGUGCUGAGAUGGUAUCCUAUGAUGAUUUUGUCGCGGCUGGUUCACUAGCAGCAGCAAGAGAGAAAAGACUUGUAAGUUAUUUCAUUGUUAUUAGCAUAUAAACUUCAAAUCCGUAAUAAAUUUCCUGAAUGGUAUUUGCUUAAUACCUACCAUGAGGUUCACUUCUGCUAUCAGGAAAGUAAGAUUGUUUUGCAUGCAUUUAUUCUAUCUUAAAAUGGUGAAACUCUUCCUUGGUCCCUAUCUAUGUUGCAGUGAUUCUCUUCAUUUUUCUUAAA